rnacentral:rRNA from 1 species
AUGGAUGUAGCUCCGGCCAUGGAUGCAGCUUUCGUUUGCAGCUCCGGUUGUCAGGGAGCAGUAGCGGAUGCAGCUGAGAGAGGAAAUCGUGGUGAGGGCGCUGGCUCAGGGGUUGGCUUUGUGGUGCUCGCCGGAGGAGAAGAUGAAGAGAGAGAACACGAGGAGAUUGCUUGGGCGCUAGAGGAAGAAGAAAGACUAGUGGAUGAGAAAGCUGCGGAGAAGAUAAGAAAGAGGAACACAUGUUGCGAGGCUCACCAAAAACAGAUACACGAGAGAUGCAUGAUCAGCUUUAAUCGCUCGCACGCCAUGCGGCCGGCAGCCCGGCUAUAA